UACGUAGGGCGCAAGCGUUGUCCGGAAUUAUUGGGCGUAAAGAGCUCGUAGGUGGUUUGUCGCGUCUGUCGUGAAAACCCACGGCUCAACCGUGUGGUCUGCAGUCGAUACGGGCAGGCUAGAGUUCGGUAGGGGAGACUGGAAUUCCUGGUGUAGCGGUGAAAUGCGCAGAUAUCAGGAGGAACACCGGUGGCGAAGGCGGGUCUCUGGGCCGAUACUGACGCUGAGGAGCGAAAGCGUGGGGAGCGAACAGG
rnacentral:rRNA from 1 species